AUUGAACGCUGGCGGCAGGCCUAACACAUGCAAGUCGAGCGGAUGAAGGGAGCUUGCUCCUGGAUUCAGCGGCGGACGGGUGAGUAAUGCCUAGGAAUCUGCCUGGUAGUGGGGGAUAACGUCCGGAAACGGGCGCUAAUACCGCAUACGUCCUGGGGAGAAAGUGGGGGAUCUUCGGACCUCACGCUAUCAGAUGAGCCUAGGUCGGAUUAGCUAGUUGGUGGGGUAAAGGCCUACCAAGGCGACGAUCCGUAACUGGUCUGAGAGGAUGAUCAGUCACACUGGAACUGAGACACGGUCCAGACUCCUACGGGAGGCAGCAGUGGGGAAUAUUGGACAAUGGGCGAAAGCCUGAUCCAGCCAUGCCGCGUGUGUGAAGAAGGUCUUCGGAUUGUAAAGCACUUUAAGUUGGGAGGAAGGGCAGUAAGUUAAUACCUUGCUGUUUUGACGUUACCAACAGAAUAAGCACCGACUAACUUCGUG
rnacentral:rRNA from 1 species